rnacentral:rRNA from 1 species
UACGUAGGGUGCAGGCGUUAAUCGGAAUUACUGGGCGUAAAGCGUGCGCAGGGGGCUCCUUAAGUCAGAUGUGAAAGCCCCGGGCUUAACCUGGGAACUGCGUUUGAAACUGGGGAGCUAGAGUGUAGAAGAGGGGGGUGGAAUUCCAGGUGUAGCAGUGAAAUGCGUAGAGAUCUGGAGGAACACCGAUGGCGAAGGCAGCCCCCUGGGCUAACACUGACGCUCAUGCACGAAAGCGUGGGGAGCAAACAGG